rnacentral:lncRNA from 1 species
UGUCGUUCCUUUGGAAGAACAUUGACAUGACUCUGGAUUGAAACCCUGCUUACUGCCUACAUUUUUACUUCUAAGGUAAAUGAAUAAGGUUCUGUGUCAAAGAGAGGCACAAUUGUGGACUUCUGUUUCGGUUCUCCAAAGACCCUUGGUGUAAUCUUUAAAGUGUUCCUCCUUGUAUGUGUUUACCCUGAAGGAAAGGCCACCAUUUGAAAAUGCUCUGAAGGAUCAUUUUGCUGUAAGUGCUUGCUGUAUCAAUGGAUUAUUUUGUUUUACAGUAGUACCUAAAAUGUGCAUAGGAACUUGAAAUAAAUCCUAAUGUUUACAGUUGAGAAAUAAAAGGAAGAAUAAGAUAACACCUAUAUUUCGGUGUUCUUAUAUUAGAUAUACUGUGAAGAAGGAACUCCGAGGAAGAGAAGGUAACCAGUUGCUUGCAGCUGACUGGGUAUACCAAGAAAUUAUAAAAAGCUUCAAAGAGGGAAGCAGAAGCUCAUAGCAGAUCUGAUUUAGGAACUAGAAGAUAGCAAAAGUAGCAAGGUAAAAAAUUAUGAGAACUGAGAAAAUAACUCGUUACUAUUUGCUUGCAUAAUGUAGAAAGGAGAUAGCAUUUGGGGUGACAAAGUCAGAUAAUGGCAACUUAGCAACCAUGUUUCUUCUGUAAGACAAAGAUAAAUGGAAGCAUACUGUAAGUGCUGGAGAAAAUAAAGUAUUCAAUAUAUGAGAUCUCUAUUGAAAGAUUUUGGUUAAUAUUGCAUUAAAAGUAAAUUUAAUUUCAUGCAGAUCAUAGGAUUGCUUUCUAAUUUAGAAAGUAACAGUGUUGCAUACUAGAGUAUAUAGUCCACUGCUCUGAGCCUGUAGGCUUUUAUUAACAGAACAAGUAAUUAUAAUAUUUAGAUUACUGAAAGACAGGGUUGGAAACAGGAAACUGAAACUAGGACUAACUUUGACAACUACGUGAAAGUUAUUUAUUUUUUAGAAAACAUGAGACUGACUUCAGUUUCCAAUAUGACAGAUCACAUUGUAAGAUUCAAGGUGUGAAGCAAAUCAUCCUGCAGAUCAUGAGGAAACCACUGCUUUUGUUCCUUCUGUUGAUUUUCCUGCACAUUGCCCGAAUCUCAGUCUGUUUUGAUGGAGUUGUAUGCAUUUGGAUGGUGUCCUAAGUUCUCUUUACUUAUUUUAAAGGUCAGUGAUUAUGUUCUUAAAAACUUGUGAGUGCUGACAUCAUAAGUUGUUCACUUGCAAAUCACAUAAUUCCUGUUAAUUGCUUUUUUGCUGUAGCUGGUAGCAACAAUAUUCUAUGUGAAGGAGACUGAUAAGAAUGUUGGCACCAUGUUUAUUAAUUAUCAUUUUAAUUAGUAAUUACUUUUAUAGGUUAGUUUUCUCUUAUAUGCUGGGAAAUACAGUGGCUACAACUUUAUAGUUGUGAUCCACUCCUACCUAUUAGGUAUAUCUUUUUCAAAACUUUGAAGUUGUAUAUUUACAUGUAGGCUUUAAUUAGUUGGGAG